UCACGUCUUACGACGGCAGUUUCACUAGAGUUCCCAGCGUUACCUGAUGGCAACUAGUGAUGGGGGUUGCGCUCGUUGCGGGACUUAACCCAACACCUCACGGCACGAGCUGACGACAGCCAUGCACCACCUGUGAUCCUGCCCCGAAGGGAGACCCUGUUUCCAGGGCUGUCAGGAACAUGUCAAGCCCAGGUAAGGUUCUUGGCGUUGCGUCCAAUUAAACCACAUGCUCCGCUGCUUGUGCGGGCCCCCGUCAAUCCCUUUGAGUUUUAGCCUUGCGGCCGUACUCCCCAGGCGGGGCACUUAAUGCGUUAGCUACGGCACGGAGGGCGUUGAUAACCCCCCACACCUAGUGCCCAACGUUUACGGCGUGGACUAC
rnacentral:misc_RNA from 1 species